AUAGGUUAAGUUAAUAAGGGCGCAUGGUGGAUGCCUUGGCACUAGAAGGCGAUGAAGGACGUGACUAACUACGAUAUGCCUCGGUUAGCUGUAAGUAAGCUUACCCGGGGGUUUCCGAAUGGGGCAACCCGAUCUUAAUGAUCAUCAUCUUUUUGAAUUCAUAGAUUAGAUGAAGCAAACGCUGUGAACUGAAACAUCUCAGUAGCAGUAGGAAAGUAAAGAAAUUUCGAUUCCGUCAGUAGCGGCGAGCGAACGCGGAAGAGCCCAAACCUGGAUGCUUGCAUCCAGGGGUUGUAGGACUGAUGUUGAGUUACAAAGGUAUAAGAUAGCAGAAACAGUUGGGAAGCUGUUCCAAAGAGGGUGACAGGCCCGUAUGCGAAAUCUUGUACUCUCUAAUCAGGAUCCUGAGUAC
rnacentral:rRNA from 1 species